GGAAGGGCCAUCGCUCAACGGAUAAAAGCUACCCUGGGGAUAACAGGCUUAUCUCCCCCAAGAGUCCACAUCGACGGGGAGGUUUGGCCCCUCGAUGUCGGCUCAUCACAUCCUGGGGCUGUAGUAGGUCCCAAGGGUUGGGCUGUUCGCCCAUUAAAGUGGUACGCGAGCUGGGUUCAGAACGUCGUGAGACAGUUCGGUCCCUAUCCGUCGCAGGCG
rnacentral:rRNA from 1 species